AACGGACGCUGGCGGCAUGCCUAACACAUGCAAGUCGAACGAGACCUUCGGGUCUAGCGGCGCACGGGUGCGUAACGCGUGGGAACCUGCCCUUAGGUUCGGAAUAACUCCCCGAAAGGGGUGCUAAUACCGGAUAAUGUCUUCGGACCAAAGAUUUAUCGCCUUUGGAUGGGCCCGCGUUGGAUUAGCUAGUUGGUAGGGUAAAAGCCUACCAAGGCGACGAUCCAUAGCUGGUCUGAGAGGAUGAUCAGCCACACUGGGACUGAGACACGGCCCAGACUCCUACGGGAGGCAGCAGUGGGGAAUAUUGGACAAUGGGCGAAAGCCUGAUCCAGCAAUGCCGCGUGAGUGAUGAAGGCCUUAGGGUUGUAAAGCUCUUUUACCCGGGAUGAUAAUGACAGUACCGGGAGAAUAAGCUCCGGCUAACUCCGUG
rnacentral:rRNA from 1 species